rnacentral:rRNA from 1 species
CACCUGACCCCAUGCCGAACUCAGAAGUGAAACGCCGUAGCGCCAAUGGUAGUGUGGGGUCUCCCCAUGCGAGAGUAGGGAACUGCCAGGC